AGGACACUGUUGUCAUCCGUUUUUUUAACAUAGGGGAACGCGUAUACGACGCCAUCGACAGGUGACUGCACACCCGGUGUCACUUUUUAGAAUGUUUGAAAUUUGAAGGUGAAAGAAGAGUGUGGGAGAUGGAUGCCAUCUUAUCCAGGAUUGAUGAUUUCACACAUGGCUUGGUCUAGACAGCACUGCGAUACUUGCUCACCUCCCAAAUCUAUUUGGAUUCAGAUGAUUAUUCAGGAAGAUUGGUUCAACAUGAUGUGGUGUUGAAGCCCAAGGCCGUGGUGAGGAGACGAAGUUACAGAGUGCCAGAGAGAUGUCAAGAGAGCCUGAAGAGGGAGGGGGCCUUCAUGUUAAGCUUAGGUGGCAUAGAACCUGCGUAUGGCGAGUGGUGUCAUCCAGCAGUCCUUGUACCUAAGAAGGAUGGGGAUAUCCGCUUCUGCAUAGAUUUCAGGUCUUCUGUUUUUUCCGUGAGACCCAGCUGCUGACAUCAAGAGGCCUGGAAAGAUGUUGGCCUGCAGAAAACCACACUGACCUCUCUACUGUUCAAUGGAUGACUGACUACUAUCGUGCUAUUAAAGGGAUACAUUCAGUUCACCCAUAAAAGGAAAGUUUUGUCAUCAUUUACACACCCUAAUGAUAUUUUAAACCUGUAUGAUUUACUUCGGCAGAACACGGAAGAAUAUCAUUUGAAUAAUGUUGGUAACAAAACCAUUGGUCCCUAUCCAGUUCCUCACAGACUAUGUAGUUUUGUUGGCUAACCCAGAAGUAAGCGCCACGCUGGUUCCCUCAACCGAAAGCCUAUGCAGUUUUAUGCAUUCAAAAAUAAGCUCUGUGAUAGACAAAACGUGUAAACAUCAUAAACCUUUGUUAAUCAAGAUUUUCUUCAAAAAUAACAAAUGUGAUGAUCAUUUGUAAAGCUGAAAUACAAUCGGCAGAAGUAAAACGUUUAUGCAAUAAACAGACUUAAGGUCACUCAAAAUCAACGGCACCACCAACAAGCCUCCAACAACUCUUUCAAACUUGAUUAAAAAUGUGUUCCCUGGUCAGUAAUUACUCCGUGAAUGAAUCCGCAUCUACGUUUUAAGAGAUUUGUGCCCAUGUUGCAUUAUUUGUGAGCUUUAUAAGCACGAUUACGUAUGAAGUUGUCACUUUUAGCAACUUGUUAGCACCGCCGUUUUUAAGACACAAUAAGGCUUUAAACAUCACAAGCGGGUUAUAAAUGGUGUGUUCUAUGUCAUAGAAUAAAACUUGAAAAUAUUAAAAGGUUUUUCUUUUUCAAAAAUGCAUUAUGGGAAUUGCUGAUGUAUCAAUACAGAAGCAGCUGUAUUGAUACACGUAUCGGCAAGGAAUGCAUCGCAAUAUAAAGUAUUGAUGUUUUGAGCACAGCCCUAUUUAAAUCCUUGUUCCAUGUGCCCCU